rnacentral:misc_RNA from 1 species
UAAUAAGUGUUUUAUGGCACUUUUUAAAUCCAUAUCCACCUUGUGUGCAAUGUCAGUCGAUCUUCUUCAUGGAGAUCGACCAAACAUCAACCUUUAUUUUUUAACUCUUUGUCUGAAAAAUAUUAUGAAUAAAACAAUUCAAAAUA